CAAGCAAGUCUGAGAAUAACCCAUCAGAACCCACCCUCCGAUCCAAACAGCCCCAGUGGGGGUGAGAGAUGGGGAAGGCCUCGACCCUCCAGAUCAAGUUCAAGCCAUCCCCCUGCCUGGUGGACGGCCCAUCCAGCCACUUUCUCUCCUUUCUGGGUUUGGGCAGCAGACGAAGGAUCCAAGUCAGAGGCUGCCAGGGAGGCAAUCAUUUUGGAUCUGCAGGUGCAUGUGGGCUGGAGCUGUGAGGUCAGAAGAAGCACCUAUGAGGAAUGCGGGCUCCCUUGUGUGCUUCCCGUACCCCAAACUUACCCAUGGAGAGUGACAGCCAGGUUCUGUCAGCCAGAAUCUUCAGUGUCGGUCCCCGGACGCUGUCCCGCGGCUAUCGUGACCUAUUGUUUCCACGUGAAAACAACUUGCAGAGCAGACGGCACCCCGUGCUGGAAAGAGCUGAUGGGAGGUCACAGAUGCCAGUCUCAUGAAGCCCGUGCCCUUCAACAGCUGUGUGACCUUGGGAAGCUCCACCCACAAUGAGGGACCAGGCAGCAUCCCCUGGCUCCCAGAUUAGGUGCUGGGAUCUUUUUUCACGAUGAUGAUGAUUUUUGAGCAGUCCCUUAAGGCUUUGUGAGGAAAGCGGCCUGCAAGCCACG